rnacentral:misc_RNA from 1 species
UCUCGGUUCCACGCGAGUUGUUUCGAAUGGCCGCCACCAAAUCCGCUGCGUCUGCCGCGAAGAGGAAGGCGGCGAAGAAGGUGUCGCGCAAGAGCCCGGAGUACACGACUCUGCGCAAGAGCUGUGCUCCCGGCGUCAUCGCGAUCAUCCUCGCCGGCCGCUUCCGCGGUCGCCGCGCCGUGAUCCUGAAGCAGCUGCCACACAACGGCCCGCUGGUCGUGUCCGGCCCGAUGAAGUACAAUGGCGUCCCCAUCCGCCGCAUCGACUCCCGCUACGUGAUCGCCACCAGCACCAAGGUCGACAUCUCCAGCGUUGACACGGCGCCCAUCACCCCCGAGGUGUUCCAGCGCCCCAAGGCAGAGAAGCUGACCAAGAGCGAGGGCGACUUCAUGGGCGACAAACAGAAGGCUAGGGCGGAGAAGGCUGCCAAGAAGACCUCCAAGGCGGGAAAGAAGACCCCCGUGUCAGACGCGCGCGCCCAGCUGCAGAAGAAGAUCGACGCCGCCCUCAUCGCCGCCAUCAAGAAGGACGCUCAGGGCAAGGAGAAGGCCGGCUACCUGCGCUCCGUCUUCACGGUGAAGCCGGGCGAUGCGCCGCACCGCUGGAACUGGUAAGCACAGGACAACCGUAGGCGCUCUCGCACCACGUGCUGGUGUUGUAGCCUCGCUACCCCUACAGCCUCUCUGGUGAGGCGCGUGCCGACGUGUUUCGCGGUUCUCCCGCAGGCGUGUGCGUCUUUUCUAUUUUUGGUUUCUUCGCUUCCAUUUUUUAGUUUUUUUUUAUUCGC